rnacentral:rRNA from 1 species
UACGAAGGUCCCAAGCGUUGUCCGGAAUCAUUGGGCGUAAAGCGCGUGUAGGCGGCUCGAUAAGUCUGCUGUGAAAGUUCAGGGCUCAACCCUGAAAUGCCGGUGGAAACUGUCGAGCUAGAGUCCGGAAGAGGCGAGUGGAAUUCCUGGUGUAGCGGUGAAAUGCGCAGAUAUCAGGAGGAACACCAAUGGCGAAGGCAGCUCGCUGGGACGGUACUGACGCUGAGACGCGAAAGCGUGGGGAGCAAACAGG